AAGUGUUAUAGCUCUUUUAGAAUUUGUCCAGCAGGCCUUUUGCUCUCUAUAGGAAGGCGCCCCC